rnacentral:rRNA from 1 species
GCCUCUUAGACGAGGAUAACAGUUGGAAACGACUGCUAAGACUGGAUAGGAAGUUUUAAGGCAUCUUGAAACUUUUAAAAGACCCGCAAGGGUAUGCUAAGAGAUGGGCUUGCGGCACAUUAGUUAGUUGGUAAGGUAACGGCUUACCAAGACUAUGAUGUGUAGCUGGACUGAGAGGUUGAACGGCCACAUUGGGAUUGAGAUACGGCCCAAACUCCUACGGGAGGCAGCAGUAAGGAAUUUUCGGCAAUGGAGGAAACUCUGACCGAGCAACGCCGCGUGAACGAUGAAAUAUUUAGGUAUGUAAAGUUCUUUUAUUAAAGAAGAAAAAAUGAUGGAAAAAUCAUUCUGACGGUAUUUAAUGAAUAAGCCCCGGCUAACUAUGUGCCAGCAGCUGCGGUAAUACAUGGGGGGCAAGCGUUAUCCGGAUUUAUUGGGCGUAAAGGGUGUGUAGGCGGUUUAAUAAGUCUAUGGUAUAAGUUCAACGCUUAACGUUGUGAUGCUAUGGAAACUGUUUGACUAGAGUUGGAUAGAGGCAAGUGGAAUUCCAUGUGUAGCGGUAAAAUGCGUAAAUAUAUGGAGGAACACCAGUAGCGAAGGCGGCUUGCUGGGUCUUAACUGACGCUGAGGCACGAAAGCGUGGGGAGCAAACAGGAUUAGAUACCCUGGUAGUCCACGCCGUAAACGAUGAGUACUAAGUGUUGGGUUAAACCAGUGCUGAAGUUAACACAUUAAGUACUCCGCCUGAGUAGUACGUACGCAAGUAUGAAACUUAAAGGAAUUGACGGGACUCCGCACAAGCGGUGGAUCAUGUUGUUUAAUUCGAAGAUACACGAAAAACCUUACCAGGUCUUGACAUACUCUGCAAAGCUAUAGAAAUAUAGUGGAGGUUAUCAGGGAUACAGGUGGUGCAUGGUUGUCGUCAGCUCGUGUCGUGAGAUGUUGGGUUAAGUCCCGCAACGAGCGCAACCCUUAUCGCUAGUUACCAUCAUUUAGUUGGGCACUUUAGUGAGACUGCCAAUGAUAAAUUGGAGGAAGGUGGGGAUUACGUCAAAUCAUCAUGCCCCUUAUGACCUGGGCUACAAACGUGAUACAAUGGCUGUUACAAAGAGUAGCUGAAGCGUGAGUUUUUAGCAAAUCUCAAAAAAACAGUCUCAGUUCGGAUUGAAGUCUGCAACUCGACUUCAUGAAGUCGGAAUCGCUAGUAAUCGCGAAUCAGCAUGUCGUGGUGAAUACGUUCUCGGGGUUUGUACACACCGCCCGUCAAACCAUGAAAGUUGACAAUACUCGAAACCAGUAGCCUAACUUGCAAAAGAGGGAACUGUCUAAGGUAGGGUCGAUGAUUGGGGUUAAGUCGUAACAAGGUAUCCCUACCGGAAGGUGGGGAUGGAUCACCUCCUUUCUAAGGAAA